rnacentral:rRNA from 1 species
GAUGAACGCUGGCGGCGUGCCUAAUACAUGCAAGUCGAGCGAACAGACGAGGAGCUUGCUCCUCUGACGUUAGCGGCGGACGGGUGAGUAACACGUGGAUAACCUACCUAUAAGACUGGGAUAACUUCGGGAAACCGGAGCUAAUACCGGAUAAUAUAUUGAACCGCAUGGUUCAAUAGUGAAAGACGGUUUUGCUGUCACUUAUAGAUGGAUCCGCGCCGCAUUAGCUAGUUGGUAAGGUAACGGCUUACCAAGGCAACGAUGCGUAGCCGACCUGAGAGGGUGAUCGGCCACACUGGAACUGAGACACGGUCCAGACUCCUACGGGAGGCAGCAGUAGGGAAUCUUCCGCAAUGGGCGAAAGCCUGACGGAGCAACGCCGCGUGAGUGAUGAAGGUCUUCGGAUCGUAAAACUCUGUUAUUAGGGAGAACAAAUGUGUAAGUAACUAUGCAUGUCUUGACGGUACCUAAUCAGAAAGCCACGGCUAACUACGUG